rnacentral:rRNA from 1 species
AUGACUAAACCAAACCAUUGGAAACCCCAUGAUCAAAUUUUGCCACUUUUGAGUGUGUUUCCUAUUUUAGAAGUAGUAACUGCUUUUGCGGCCACACUAAAAAGUCCAAAAAAAACUUUGAGGGAGCAAACUAACUCGGAAAUUUAUGGAAGUUGGUAUCAUGUCUUCAUAGGACCCUUGUGGGGUUUAGUAAAAUGUUCCUUGUGUUACGACAAAAACUUCAUGCACUUCAUAUACAAACUAAACACUCUUCAUCGAAGUGUACCUGUUUCGAAGGGAAACCGUCAACUACCUAACUGA